rnacentral:rRNA from 1 species
GUGGGGAAUUUUGGACAAUGGGCGCAAGCCUGAUCCAGCAAUGCCGCGUGCAGGAAGAAGGCCUUCGGGUUGUAAACUGCUUUUGUACGGAACGAAACGGUCCUGGCUAAUAUCCGGGGCUAAUGACGGUACCGUAAGAAUAAGCACCGGCUAACUACGUGCCAGCAGCCGCGGUAAUACGUAGGGUGCGAGCGUUAAUCGGAAUUACUGGGCGUAAAGCGUGCGCAGGCGGUGCUGUAAGACAGGCGUGAAAUCCCCGGGCUCAACCUGGGAAUUGCGCUUGUGACUGCAAAGCUGGAGUGCGGCAGAGGGGGAUGGAAUUCCGCGUGUAGCAGUGAAAUGCGUAGAUAUGCGGAGGAACACCGAUGGCGAAGGCAAUCCCCUGGGCCUGCACUGACGCUCAUGCACGAAAGCGUGGGGAGCAAACAGGAUUAGAAACCCCGGUAGUCC